CUUGGGGUGUGUGUUCUGUUACGAUACAGCCUGUUGUGCUUUCAAGUGGCUUCUACUGUACUGCCAUUUGCUGCUUGCACAAAUGAGGAUGCGUAUGCUUGCUUGCACGCUUGCCUGCUGUUUCUGCGGCCCGGUUGCAAACCCCUCAUAGCACACUAGUGGGUUGGGAACCCUUGGUCUAAGAUACCUAAAAGGCACCCCCAAGUCUGAAUAUAAACUUGGGCUAGGAACGGAAACCAUGCACCCUCAAUGGGUGAAGCUCCCAUUCUGGGCUGCUAAGCCAACUGGUGUGAUCAGAUUUCCACAACCCUCAAUUCAGCAAAGAACAGUAUAGGGUCUCCUACUUGAGCAGGGGGUUGGACUAGAAAAUCUCCAAGGUCCUUUCUGAGUCUGUUAUUCUGCUAUUUCACCCAAGGCUGUCCCACAUUUCUCCAUACAUUACUAAUAAGGACUGAAAUUCCAUUUAUCUUCUUUUGUCUUUUCUUCUGGGAUGUGUAGGGUUUUCUGACUGGUAUAGCUUGCUUGCCUUGCCCACCAUCCUUUGGCACCAGGUUGACAAUCCCUGAUCCCAGAAAUGUAGUCAACAGGCAUUUAAUUUGUGUGAGUAUUUUCCUUUUGUUUGCAGACUCAAAGUUCAUCUCAAAACUGCUUUACACCCCCUGCUAAUAGCCACAUGCCCUUGUUUUCUCCCCACCAAUCCAAACCAGCCACAUUUCCCUGGGUAAGAUUUCGAUUUGCAUUUUUUUGAAAAUUUCACCAUAUGUGCCUUUGAUGACAACACAUGCCACUCACAAAUUGCACAGAGGUUUGAAAGAACACAUGCAACCAAUUACAGUAAGCUGCGGAAAAAGAGUCAAGCAGGGAGGGGACCAAUUCAAGACUGGGCAGAGUCUUGUAGGUGCCAGACCCACGAGAAAAGCAACAGAGGCCGAGAACAUCUGCUCUUGCAUCCAGGAGAAAACAGCUGGAAAUUUACCCAAGCUUUCAAAUGCAAAUAUCGAAUAGAAUUAUUCGGCAUGGGAUUCGUGCUGGCCAGCAUUCAAGCCCAAUGGAGAUUUGCAUUUCUCCUAUAUUUUCCUAUAUUGAUACUGAUGGAGAUGGAGAAGAACAUAAGUUUGUGGAGGACAAUGGAGCAGCUCCUCUGAAAUCUGGGGUCCAGAGCCCCAAGCGUUGACCUGAACCCAGAUGGCGCAAAGACUCAGGGAAGAUGACAAUCACUAGUGGGAGAACCAUCAUGACAGAGCCCUCUUGAAGUCUGAUUGAAACCUGCUCAUGUAUCAAAUUGUUUUAAUUUUCCCAUUAAUGCUUCAACUCCCUUAGAGUAGGGGCGCCAAACUCAAUUUCAUUGAAGUAUGCAUCA